AAAUUGAAGAGUUUGAUCAUGGCUCAGAUUGAACGCUGGCGGCAGGCCUAACACAUGCAAGUCGAGCGGAAACGAGUUAUCUGAACCUUCGGGGAACGAUAACGGCGUCGAGCGGCGGACGGGUGAGUAAUGCCUAGGAAAUUGCCCUGAUGUGGGGGAUAACCAUUGGAAACGAUGGCUAAUACCGCAUGAUGCCUACGGGCCAAAGAGGGGGACCUUCGGGCCUCUCGUGUCAGGAUAUGCCUAGGUGGGAUUAGCUAGUUGGUGAGGUAAGGGCUCACCAAGGCGACGAUCCCUAGCUGGUCUGAGAGGAUGAUCAGCCACACUGGAACUGAGACACGGUCCAGACUCCUACGGGAGGCAGCAGUGGGGAAUAUUGCACAAUGGGCGCAAGCCUGAUGCAGCCAUGCCGCGUGUGUGAAGAAGGCCUUCGGGUUGUAAAGCACUUUCAGUCGUGAGGAAGAUAGUGUAGUUAAUAGCUGCAUUAUUUGACGUUAGCGACAGAAGAAGCACCGGCUAACUCCGUGCCAGCAGCCGCGGUAAUACGGAGGGUGCGAGCGUUAAUCGGAAUUACUGGGCGUAAAGCGCAUGCAGGUGGUUUGUUAAGUCAGAUGUGAAAGCCCGGGGCUCAACCUCGGAAUUGCAUUUGAAACUGGCAGACUAGAGUACUGUAGAGGGGGUAGAAUUUCAGGUGUAGCGGUGAAAUGCGUAGAGAUCUGAAGGAAUACCGGUGGCGAAGGCGGCCCCCUGGACAGAUACUGACACUCAGAUGCGAAAGCGUGGGGAGCAAACAGGAUUAGAUACCCUGGUAGUCCACGCCGUAAACGAUGUCUACUUGGAGGUUGUGGCCUUGAGCCGUGGCUUUCGGAGCUAACGCGUUAAGUAGACCGCCUGGGGAGUACGGUCGCAAGAUUAAAACUCAAAUGAAUUGACGGGGGCCCGCACAAGCGGUGGAGCAUGUGGUUUAAUUCGAUGCAACGCGAAGAACCUUACCUACUCUUGACAUCCAGAGAACUUUCCAGAGAUGGAUUGGUGCCUUCGGGAACUCUGAGACAGGUGCUGCAUGGCUGUCGUCAGCUCGUGUUGUGAAAUGUUGGGUUAAGUCCCGCAACGAGCGCAACCCUUAUCCUUGUUUGCCAGCGAGUAAUGUCGGGAACUCCAGGGAGACUGCCGGUGAUAAACCGGAGGAAGGUGGGGACGACGUCAAGUCAUCAUGGCCCUUACGAGUAGGGCUACACACGUGCUACAAUGGCGCAUACAGAGGGCAGCCAACUUGCGAAAGUGAGCGAAUCCCAAAAAGUGCGUCGUAGUCCGGAUUGGAGUCUGCAACUCGACUCCAUGAAGUCGGAAUCGCUAGUAAUCGUGGAUCAGAAUGCCACGGUGAAUACGUUCCCGGGCCUUGUACACACCGCCCGUCACACCAUGGGAGUGGGCUGCAAAAGAAGUAGGUAGUUUAACCUUCGGGGGGACGCUUACCACUUUGUGGUUCAUGACUGGGGUGAAGUCGUAACAAGGUAGCGCUAGGGGAACCUGGCGCUGGAUCACCUCCUUA
rnacentral:rRNA from 1 species